AAAUGAGAGUAUAUGUAAAGGAGUUAAUUUUUUUUUAAGAUUUUAUUUAUUCAUGAGAGACACACACAGAGUGAGGCAGAGACACAGGCAGAGGCAGAAGCAGGCUCCAUGCAGGGAGCCCGAUGUGGGACUCGAUCCUGGGACUCCAGGAUCACGCCCUGGGCUGAAGGCAGAUUCUGAACCACUGAGCCACCCAGGUGCCCCUGAGGAGGGAGUUACUUUUUAAAAUGAAAACUCAUGAUGAUGACGACAGUGAGGUCAGAAUUGCUUCUCCUCAGUUAAAAGGCGUUCGGUUCUGUACGGACUCCAGGGGCAGCCAGACCUGCAACGAGAGGAAUGUGGAUCUCCGUUCAUUUAACAAACAAAUGACCUAUAGCUGUCUUGAGCGGAGACAGGAUGUGUAUAUUAGGAAAUCAAACAGCAGGAAAAUAUAAGACCAGUAUGGGAUGGGGACAGGCUCUUCCAGAGCACAGAACAGGCCACCCCAUUGUAACACAGCCUCUCAGCCCUGUAACCUCAGUAUCUGGUUCCCACAGAGUGAGGUCGAUGGGCUCACCCAAUCCACCCACAGAUUACAGGUGCCACAGCCCCAGGCCCUGAUCUGACAGAGACACAUGUGGCUGAGUCACAAUGAGGUAAUGAGGUGGUCAGGCUGGCCUGGGAGGAGGCUGUGUCAUCCAUUCCCAUCCCCCCAUGGAGCCUGGCACAAUCCUGAUUCCCGCAUCCCUUUUCCUAGGUCAUUCUCCUGGGCCGGAGGCCACAGCUGGUCCUGAAGGUGGACAAGGCCGUGGACAAGGCUGGCCUCAGGCCUCGACCACCAUGGAUGGGAGCCCAGACCAAUCUCUCUCAGGCUCAACAGGUGACUCUUUGCUACUUCUAUGUUAAAACAAACACAACAAAGCAAGUUCCGUCUUCAGAAUGGAGAUGGAAGAAUGACUGGAAGCCGGACCCUGAUCCCAGCAGUAGAAGACGGAAGGCGGGAAGUGUGCCCUUGCAGGAAGAGGGGGCUGGCCCAAGAAGGACUCUCUAGAAAGGAGGAGCCACCUUCAGCUAGACAUUCACUCAACAGUAGGCCUGAAAUAAAACCAGAAAUCCUCACUCCUAGCCUUGCCCCGGCACAUUGA
rnacentral:lncRNA from 1 species